AUUGAACGCUGGCGGCAGGCCUAACACAUGCAAGUCGAACGAGUGGCGGACGGGUGAGUAAUGUCUGGGACACUGCCCGAUGGAGGGGGAUAACCACUGGAAACGGUAGCUAAUACCGCAUACCAUCGGAUGUGCCCAGAGGGGAUUAGCUAGUAGGUGGGGUAACGGCUCACCUAGGCGACGAUCCCUAGCUGGUCUGAGAGGAGUACCAGCCACACUGGAACUGAGACACGGCCCAGACUCCGACGGGAGGCAGCAGUGGGGAAUAUGGCACAAUGGGCGCAAGCCUGAUGCAGCCAUGCCGCGUGUAUGAAGAAGGCCUUCGGGUUGUAAAGUACUUUCAGCGAGGAGGCGUUACUCGCAGAAGAAGCACCGGCUAACUCCGUGCCAGCAGCCGCGGUAAUUC
rnacentral:rRNA from 1 species